rnacentral:misc_RNA from 1 species
AGAACUCAUAUGCCCAAACUUUAUAACCGUAACCAUGGCCUUGCAUUGAUCAAAAAUGCAAUGCAUCCCCACAAAGGAAUAUGCAGGUUCCGACCUUCUACGUGGACGAUCAUCAGUGUCACUCACAUUUGAACUGAAACUAGUAGUCCGACUCAAUGCUUGACUUGCUUGACUGGGACUUCGUAAAUCCUUUAAGGAAUUCCAGCUAUCCGACUCGAGUAACUGGGAAACUGGACUUGCUGAAGGCAUCCAUCGCCCACUGUUCCCUGGGGUACUUGGUCGGCUUGGUAUUUGCAAUGUCUCCCAAUUCCUUGGCCUACUAAUAUAAUUACGAUAAGCUACGUAUCCUUUUCCAUUGCCUCUCCAGUCCUUGCGACGAAGCACACCGGAUUCAGCUUUGCGAUGGAGGAGGAACCGGCGUAUUCCAAUGUAAUUUGG